AGCGAACGCUGGCGGCAGGCUUAACACAUGCGAGUCGAGCGGGCACACAUGAGGAGUCAGCGGCAGACGGGUGAGUAACGCGUGGGAACGAGCACUACGGUUCGGACUAACUUUGGGAAACUUGUGCUAAUACGGGACACGUGCGGGUACAGCAUAGUUUAUCUGCCGAAGGAUCGGCCGGCGUCGGACUAGCUAGUUGGUGAGGUUAUGGCGCACCAAGGCGACGAUCAGUAGCUGGUCUCAGAGGAUGGUCAGCCACUCUGGGACUGAGACACGGCCCAGACUCCUGCGGGAGGCAGCAGUGGGUAAUAUUGGACAAUCGGGGCAGCCCUGAUCCAGCCCGGCCGCGUGAGUGAUGACGGCCUUAGGGUUGUAAAGCUCUUUUCUCCGGGACGAUAAUGACGGUACCGGAGGAAUAAGCCCCGGCUAACUUCGUG
rnacentral:rRNA from 1 species